UAUGAGAACAGCUCUGAAAACCAGGCUCCCUCAGGGCUAACCUGUGCAGUCUGCAGGUCGACCUACAACGCGCACGAUCGUCGUCCGCUUAUCUUCUCCAGCUGCGGCCACACCUUCUGCGAGGAAUGCCUUAGGACGGAGAACCGCAAGAGUGUGUUCCAGUGCCCUUCUUGCCGGCAGGACCGCGACCAGUUCCGGACGCUGAAGCCUAACUUCGCGCUGCUCGACCUGCUCGAAGCGCUCCAGACAAGCGAGUAAGAGGCAGCAGAUUAUUAUGAUACAGAGUAAACGCGCUGCAGCAUCAUGAAGGAGAAUUGAAGCCCUAAACACAAACACACACAAUGUUUGUGGAAACCUCACGUUGGCAGUGUGAUUAUGCGGUAUCCGUGAAUUGUGGUCACCUACAUUUAUAUAAGAAGUACAGCUUAUUAAGAGAUUAUGUAUAGUUUAUU